rnacentral:rRNA from 1 species
UACGUAGGGUGCGAGCGUUGCCCGGAUUUAUUGGGCGUAAAGGGCGCGCAGGCGGCUACGCACGUCCGUUGUGAAAUCGCUCGGCUCAACUGGGCGGGGUCAGCGGAUACGGCGUAGCUGGAGCAAGCUAGGGGGCAAUGGAAUUCCUGGUGUAGCGGUGAAAUGCGCAGAUAUCAGGAGGAACACCGGUGGCGAAGGCGGAUCUCUGGGCCGUAACUGACGCUGAGGAGCGAAAGCAUGGGGAGCGAACAGG